AGCAACAGGUUUAUGGUUAAGCAGCUACAGCAUGUGGGCUGGGUGCACUUGGCAUGCCUAGAACAACAAUGGCUCAGUGAGAAGCAUUUCCAGCCAUCGCCUGCCAAGAUGAUCUCACAGAGUCACUUUCUCUGGCUGCUGGUUCUCUGGGUUCAUGGUUCAAGUGGGCAGAUCGUGAUGAGACAGACUCCAGAAUCUCUAUCCGCGUCCGUGGGGGAAACAGUAACUAUGAAAUGCCAGGCCAGUUCAAGCAUUGGUGCCAACACACACUGGUACCAACAGAAAUCUGGGCAGUCUCCAAAGCUUCUUAUCUACAACGCUAGCAGCCGCCCAUCUGGGAUCCCAGCCCGGUUCAGCGGCAGUGGGUCUGACACCGAUUUCACUCUCACCAUCAGUAGAGUUGAAGCUGAUGAUGCUGGAGAUUAUUACUGUCAGCAGGCCGGUUACAGCUUCCCUCGCACAGUAAUACAGACCAAUACAAAAACCUUCCGAAUGUCUAGUGUGCUUGGUGGUUGCCUUUGUUCCAGCUGUGUGAACAAAGCUUGCAAAGUUUCCUGUCAGUCAGUCGCACAUGAAACAGGACGAGGCCCCCUCUCAGCUCCUUCCAUGAACAAUAUGCUGUCUAUACUUCCCAAAGGCUGA